UCCGGUUUGUCACCGGCAGUCAUCCUAGAGUGCCCACCUUUAUGUGCUGGCAACUAAGAUCAAGGGUUGCGCUCGUUGCGGGACUUAACCCAACAUCUCACGACACGAGCUGACGACAACCAUGCACCACCUGUCUCCUUUGUCCCGAAGGAAAGGCACAUCUCUGCACCGGUCAAAGGGAUGUCAAGACCUGGUAAGGUUCUUCGCGUUGCUUCGAAUUAAACCACAUACUCCACUGCUUGUGCGGGCCCCCGUCAAUUCCUUUGAGUUUUAGCCUUGCGGCCGUACUCCCCAGGCGGGGCACUUAAUGCGUUAGCGCCGGCACGGGGGGAGUCGACACCCCCACACCUAGUGCCCAUCGUUUACGGCGUGGACUAC
rnacentral:misc_RNA from 1 species